rnacentral:tRNA from 2 species
GCCCCCGUGGCGGAAUUGGCAGACGCGCAGCGUUCAGGACGCUGUUCCCGCAAGGGAAUAGAGGUUCAAGUCCUCUCGGGGGCACCA